UACGUAGGUGGCAAGCGAUACUCGGAAUCACUAGGCGUAAAGCGCAGGUAGGCGGUUUGGUAAGUCUCUUGUGAAAGCUCCCGGCUCAACUGGGAGAGGUCAAGGGAAACUGCCAGGCUUGAGUGUGGCAGAGGAAGCUGGAAUUCCACGUGUAGCGGUGAAAUGCGUAGAGAUGUGGAGGAACACCAGUGGCGAAGGCGACUCUUUGGCCUGUAACUGACGCUGAGGCGCGAAAGCGUGGGGAGCAAACAGG
rnacentral:rRNA from 1 species